GUCCUGAGGUGCUCGUUGUGUAACCUAAAGUUUUGACCGAACAUUUCUUCUUUGGGAGUUCGGAGUUUUUAAGUAGCGUAAAUGCCUUGGAUUAGGACUUACAAAGCUUAAAAUAGAACACCCACCUGCUAAGUGCGGGUUCAAAACGAAGGCAAAAAAAUGACGGCACAGUUGGGAC
rnacentral:other from 1 species